UACGUAGGGUGCAAGCGUUGUCCGGAAUUAUUGGGCGUAAAGAGCUCGUAGGCGGUUUGUCGCGUCUGCUGUGAAAACCCGAGGCUCAACCUCGGGCCUGCAGUGGGUACGGGCAAACUAGAGUGCGGUAGGGGAGAAUGGAAUUCCUGGUGUAGCGGUGGAAUGCGCAGAUAUCAGGAAGAACACCCGUGGCGAAGGCGGCUCUCUGGGACGGUACUGACGCUGAGACGCGAAAGCGUGGGGAGCGAACAGG
rnacentral:rRNA from 1 species